CCCCGAUUUUUGGCGGGCUUCUUUCAUCAGUUGGUUUUCGCGCUCAACCCGGUGUUCCCGUCCGCGCGCUCUGUUCCUGAAUAAGAACAACACCAGAUAUGUUCGCCCCAGAUAGAGAACUGAAACGACGCGCACGGCGUCACCCCCUUUCGCCGUCCUGCUUUUGGGCACCGACCUAGAACUCUUUCCCUUUCUUUGUCUCAUAAAGCAUCUCAUUCAGACGAAUCCCUUUUGUAGACUGCUCGAGCACAAACAGACAAGACUUCUCACACAGCAAGGGGUCCCUGCUAAGGUGAGGGAAGAAGUAGUCACGAUAACUUGACCGUGAAGGGCUUGAGCGCCAUGUGACAUCCUGGCCAGAAACGUCGACUCGAUUGAGAUUUCAUCAUCUCCAUUGAGAAAGGGAGCCGGCCUAUCACCCGUGGACCACUAAAAUCACCACCUCUUGGUCCUUCCUCUCUCGUGUUCAGCGCAAGAGCCUCCCUGACUCUGUGACAGAGGGAGUCCUGAGUGACGCCGUGAAUGACUCUACGAUGCCUUACUGCCCCACCCCCCCUCCCCCACCUCUUCCCGGCUGCUUCUGAUUAAGAUGUUUGUGGUGGGAUCUGAGAGCAAUUUGAACAACUACAGGUGCAACUCGUACAGAUGGACGUAACAUAUGAAAUGUGCUGAAUAUAUCCAUGUAUUUAGAUCCUAAUAUGUACACAUGGAAUUGCUGUAUUCAUUUGAUGCUUUUGGAACGUCUCUUCAUAAAAUCUCAAAUGCUGAAAUAUCCUGUCAAAAUACAUGAUUGGUGUGUUUAUUUGGCUCUUUGCUGUCUUUCAUUUAUAGAUGAAUUCUGAAGGACCUUUAUAAGAUAACACUGUAGUUGGCCACGUUAAAUGGCAUCCUAUUCAUACGCCUGGUCAUCUAAGCAGGAUGAAAAGAAUAGCCUCCGUUUUAAUGAACUACCAAUUUUGGAGGGGGUGUCUUGAAGACAAAAGCAGCCUAGGCUAGACUGUUGUGAGACUUUCUGUCUGGAUUACAAGCUAAUGCGUUUAACAUAAACAAUGCCCAACUCUCGAGUCGUGUCAUCCCGCCAAGGAGACGCAUAUUCUCUUAACAAUCCUGUUCGAGU